CCACGGCAGCCAUGGCCGCCGCUGCUUCGACUCCCUCUAGCUCUGGUAGAACAGUAACAAAUCGCCGCCCUUCCCCACAUGCACCAAAAAUCUAAUAUUUUACAUCAUCGUGUUUUUACAAGCAAUUGCAAGAUAAUAUACAGACCAACGACGCUUAUAAUACAAGAGAGGAGAGUUUGAAGAGAGAAGCUUUCUGCUGCACGGGAGUGGAAAGAUUUGUGGAGAUUUUUGCAGCAGUAGUUCGAGUUCCUCCCCAAAAAAAUAAAGGGCAUUUUUUAUAAUAUGUAAAUUAGAUGUGGGCAUUAGCGUAAUUUCACGAUUUGAAAUAUUAUAUCUGUUAUCAAACAGAAUUCUAAGAUAUUACAUAUAUUUUCUAAUCUAUCAAACAAACAUGUAUUCCUUUCUAGCAUAAUUUGUAUCAGCUAUCAAACAUUCCUAUAAUACAAAUCCAUUCAUAAAUAAUAUUGAAUUAUCUAGCCCUCUAUAUCAAA